rnacentral:rRNA from 1 species
CCUACGGGAGGCAGCAGUGGGGAAUAUUGCACAAUGGGCGCAAGCCUGAUGCAGCAACGCCGCGUGCGGGAUGACGGCCUUCGGGUUGUAAACCGCUUUCAGUUCCGACGAAGCGCAAGUGACGGUAGGAACAGAAGAAGGACCGGCCAACUACGUGCCAGCAGCCGCGGUGAUACGUAGGGUCCGAGCGUUGUCCGGAAUUAUUGGGCGUAAAGGGCUUGUAGGCGGUUUGUCACGUCGGAAGUGAAAACUCAGGGCUCAACCCUGAGCCUGCUUCCGAUACGGGCAAACUAGAGGAAUGCAGGGGAGAAUGGAAUUCCUGGUGGAGCGGUGGAAUGCGCAGAUAUCAGGAGGAACACCGGUGGCGAAGGCGGUUCUCUGGGCAUUUCCUGACGCUGAGAAGCGAAAGCGUGGGGAGCAAACAGGCUUAGAUACCCUGGUAGUCCACGCCGUAAACGGUGGGCACUAGGUGUGGGGAACAUUCCACGUUCUCCGUGCCGAAGCUAACGCAUUAAGUGCCCCGCCUGGGGAGUACGGCCGCAAGGCUAAAACUCAAAGGAAUUGACGGGGGCCCGCACAAGCGGCGGAGCAUGCGGAUUAAUUCGAUGCAACGCGAAGAACCUUACCUGGGUUUGACAUCUACCGGAAAGCUGCAGAGAUGUAGCCCCCGCAAGGUCGGUAUACAGGUGGUGCAUGGCUGUCGUCAGCUCGUGUCGUGAGAUGUUGGGUUAAGUCCCGCAACGAGCGCAACCCUCGUCCUAUGUUGCCAGCGGAUAAUGCCGGGGACUCAUAGGAGACUGCCGGGGUCAACUCGGAGGAAGGUGGGGGAUGACGUCAAGUCAUCAUGCCCCUUAAGUCCAGGGCUUCACGCAUGCUACAAUGGCUGGUACAAAGGGCUGCGAAACCGCAAGGUCGAGCGAAUCCCAAAAAGCCAGUCUCAGUUCGGAUUGGGGUCUGCAACUCGACCCCAUGAAGUCGGAGU